UCUGACUUAGAUCAACUAUGAGCUGCAGACCCCACUUGAUGCAUCCAUCCCACGCUAAAGCUGGUCAGCCUCAGGCACUGGAGCACCAGUAGACUCAAAUUCAGGAUCUCACUUGGAUAACAGGCCUGACACCGCCGCGCCGCUUCUCUAGCGCCAACCCUCGCUCUCAAGCCAGCAGGGGAACGAGUAAGACCAGAGUCUCCAAGGAAAUUAGCGUCUUUAACCCUCAAGGUGCAUGAAUUACAUCUCAUUAAACGGCCCAGUGCCUUUCCCAUGCUUCGGUCA